rnacentral:tRNA from 1 species
GGGCCUGUAGCUCANAGGAUUAGAGCACGGG